UCACGAGCAGCUCAGAGGAGGAUAUGAAACUCCCCUUUCUCCCUGACUGCCACACCCCACCUACCUUCUCAGGUGACCCUCCUUGCACACAUCCACGUGCAAGGCACUGCAUCUCGCCCUGCACAGGAACCGUGCUGCUGAGAGUCUGCAUGUCCAGGUGAAACCUUUGAGGACAAUGACUACAUCCAUUUUGUUGCUCUCUCUCCAAUGUCUACAAAACACUGCUGAGCACAGAGCAGUGCUUCGCCCAGGGAUGAACACAAGGAAAUCGAUACACAGAUACUAUUUCCUGCACAAAGGUCAAGACAGCAGGCUGAACGAACCAUGUCAAAUUGGUGCUGGAGAGUGGACAGCCCUGGCACAAGAAUGAAGAAGCCAGUCUGGGAGCGGUGAAAUAAUGCACAUGGGAGGCCCCGGUGCCCCAGCAGCAAGAAGACAGAACACGGCACCUCCUGGACACUUAGGGGGAAAUGAAUAUCAUGCACAAUAAAAAUGAGUGUUCCUAUGGAAAUAAAGUGACACAAAGCAAGCAGUGAAUCAUUAAAGGAACUCAGGGAACAGAAAAGCAUGGACUAGGUGGGGUGUACUACAGCAAAGCAAGGGGCUCUGGGUUACAGAGCGGAUCGGGGGAGGGCGUCAGGUACACAGUGCUCGGUGGUGAAGACUUGAAUUGGUGGUGGGAGCAGGACAACCUCAUCGAUGUGUCCUGGAACCUCACUCCCCCCACUAGGGAAAGAUAGAAACAGGCUGGGGGUAUGGAUCUACCUGCCAACACCCAUGUCUAGCAGAGAAGCAAUUACAGAAGCCAGAACUCCCACCUUCUGUGCCCCAUAAAGAAUUUUGCUUCAUGGAUGAAUAUGGGAUGAUCUCACUCUCAGGGAGAAAUUGAAAAACAAGAUCAGAAGAGAAAACACAAGUAGAGCCUGAACUGGAAUUGGCGUAUUGCUCCAAAGUAAAAGACUCUGGGGUGGGAGGGGGAGAAUACAGGUCCAAGAAGGAUGACAGAGGACCUAGUGGGGUUGUAUUGUUAUAUGGAAAACUGAGAAAUGUUAUGCAUAUACAAACUAUUGUAUUUACUGUCAAAUAUAAAAUAUUA